GACGAACGCUGGCGGCGUGCCUAAUACAUGCAAGUAGGACGCAGUUGCGAACGGGUGCGUAACGCGUAGGUAACUACCUAUUAGAGGGGGAUAACUAAUGGAAAAGAUAGCUAAUACCGCAUACUAGUAGAUGGACCUGCAUUGUAUUUGAUAGUAGGUAGGGUAAUGGCAUACCUAGGCAACGAUACAUAGCAGAACUGAGAGGGUGAUCGGCCACAAUGGGACUGAGAAACGGCCCAGACUCCUACGGGAGGCAGCAGUAGGGAAUCGUCGGAAAUGGGGGGAACCCUGACCGAGCAACGCCGCGUGAGUGAAUAAGGUUUUCGGAUCGUAAAGCUCUGUUGUUAAGGAAGCGGUACUUAACCAGAAAGGGACGGCUAACUACGUGCCAGCAGCCGCGGUAAUAC
rnacentral:rRNA from 1 species